rnacentral:rRNA from 1 species
GCUUGGCCCUAAACCUCAGUAGUUAGAUAACAAAACUACUCGCCAGAAUACUACAAGCAACAGCUUAAAACUCAAAGGACUUGACGGUGCUUUACAUCCCCCUAGAGGAGCCUGUUCCGUAAUCGAUAAACCCCGAUCUACCCCACCCUCUCUUGCUCAGCCUAUAUACCGCCAUCUUCAGCAAACCCUAAUGAAGGCUACAAAGUGAGCGCAAACGCCACUGCCGCGAAUACGUUAGGUCAAGGUGUAGCCCAUGAGACGGUAAAAAAUGGGCUACAUUUUCUAUUUCAGAAAACCCCACGAAAACCCUUAUGAAACUUAAGGGUCCAAGGAGGAUUUAGCAGUAAAUUAAGAAUAGAGUGCUUAAUUGAACUAGGCCAUAAAGCGCG